rnacentral:rRNA from 1 species
AUUGAACGCUGGCGGCAGGCCUAACACAUGCAAGUCGAGCGAGCGGCGGACGGGUGAGUAAUGUCUGGGAAACUGCCUGAUGGAGGGGGAUAACUACUGGAAACGGUAGCUAAUACCGCAUACCAUCAGAUGUGCCCAGAUGGGAUUGGCUAGUAGGUGGGGUAAAGGCUCACCUAGGCGCCGAUCCCUAGCUGGUCUGAGAGGAUGACCAGCCACACUGGAACUGAGACACGGUCCAGACUCCUACGGGAGGCAGCAGUGGGGAAUAUUGCACAAUGGGCGCAAGCCUGAUGCAGCCAUGCCGCGUGUGUGAAGAAGGCCUUCGGGUUGUAAAGCACUUUCAGCGAGGAGGCGGUACUCGCAGAAGAAGCACCGGCUAACUCCGUGCCAGCAGCCGCGGUAAUUC